UCACUGUCAGCCUUAGUCAGAACACGAAGUGCUCCUAGUUGGUAGUUUCCCUACAGCAUUAGGUUUUAGCCUGAACUAUCACAGGACUUUGUAAUUUCUACAUUUUUGAGAAGCCUGAACUAUGGCCACAUGAGAAGCAUCUCUAAAGUCCUGUUGAUGGAAGAAGCCACCAUGCAGGGCAUGGGACCUAGAAACUCUCGGGGACUGGUCAAGAGCACUGGGCUACACCUCACAGGGUAAACUCUGAGACCAGAUGGUAGCGCUCUGGAGUAA
rnacentral:lncRNA from 1 species